UGGGUAGGGGAGCGUCGUGCAGCCAGGGAAGCAGCAGUGUGAACUAGUUGUGGAGGCUGUGCGAGUGAGAAUGCAGGCAUGAGUAGCGAAAGACGAGUGAGAAACUCGUCCGCCGAAUGACCAAGGGUUCCUGGGCCAGGUUAAUCCGCCCAGGGUGAGUCGGGACCUAAGGCGAGGCCGACAGGCGUAGUCGAUGGACAACGGGUUGAUAUUCCCGUACCCGUGUAUCCGCGCCCAAUGGCGAAUCAUCUGUGCUAACCGUCCUGAACCUGAGCGAUCUCCUUCGGGAGACGUGAGGGGGAUGCACGGGACCCUGGGUGUAGUAGUCAAGCGAUGGGGUGACGCAGGAAGGUAGCUGGGCCAGUGAGUGGUUGUACUGGUGUAAGCCUGUAGGGCGUUGUGUAGGCAAAUCCGCACAACAUGAGCCUGAGAGGUGAUGCGUAGCCGAUUGAGGUGAAUUCAGUGAUCCUAUGCUGCCGAGAAAAGCCUCUAGUGAGUUGGUACACGGCCCGUACCCCAAACCGACACAGGUGGUCAGGUAGAGAAUACCGAGGCGAUCGAGAGAACUGUGGUUAAGGAACUCGGCAAAAUGCCCCCGUAACUUCGGGAGAAGGGGGACCUGAUCUGGUGACCGGUCUUGCACCGUGAGCUGGGUUGGGUCGCAGAGACCAGAGAGAAGCGACUGUUUACUAAAAACACAGGUCCGUGCGAAGUCGUAAGACGAUGUAUACGGACUGACGCCUGCCCGGUGCCGGAAGGUUAAGAGGACCGGUUAGCGCUUCGGCGCGAAGCUGAGAAUUUAAGCCCCGGUAAACGGCGGUGGUAACUAUAACCAUCCUAAGGUAGCGAAAUUCCUUGUCGGGUAAGUUCCGACCUGCACGAAUGGCGUAACGACUUCUCUGCUGUCUCAACCACAGACUCGGCGAAAUUGCAUUACGAGUAAAGAUGCUCGUUACGCGCGGCAGGACGAAAAGACCCCGGGACCUUCACUAUAGCUUGGUAUUGGUGUUCGGUACGGUUUGUGUAGGAUAGGUGGGAGACUGUGAAAGCCACACGCCAGUGUGGUGGGAGUCGUCGUUGAAAUACCACUCUGAUCGUAUUGGACUUCUAACCUCGGGCCAUGAUCUGGUUCAGGGACAGUGCCUGGUGGGUAGUUUAACUGGGGCGGUUGCCUCCUAAA
rnacentral:rRNA from 1 species